CCUAUUUGGAGAGUUUGAUCCUGGCUCAGGACGAACGCUGGCGGCGUGCCUAAUACAUGCAAGUCGAGCGGAGUCUUGUUGGAAGCUUGCUUCCAACCUGGCUUAGCGGCGGACGGGUGAGUAACACGUAGGCAACCUACCCUCUAGACUGGGAUAACUACCGGAAACGGUAGCUAAUACCGGAUAAUUCCUUGGCCCUCCUGGGCUUGGGAUGAAAGGCGGAGCAAUCUGCUGCUAGAGGAUGGGCCUGCGGCGCAUUAGCU
rnacentral:rRNA from 1 species